UGAGAUUCACCUGCAAGAAAUAACCUUUUGCUGUUUUCUUUUUUAUAAAUUUCCAUUCAACAAGGCUUUUAGCGGUAACCGGAACCAAAAACAAACGAAGAUGACAAGCCUGGUAUUCUUUUGAAUUACAUGGAUGUCCCCGAUUGUAAAGAGAGCAAUGUUUCAUUGGAGUUGUCUCUUUCGUCGUGGUCGUCUGUAACAUUGGGAAAACAAGAAAUUCAUUACGAUAAAUUACAAAGUAGGAUAGGGAAGAGCAGUGGAGUUUUUCUGUCGGAACCGAGCUAUACCACUUCCAAAAUUUCGUUAGAGCUGUCUAUUUCCGUUGAUAAUAUGUCCACUAAAACUGAU
rnacentral:lncRNA from 1 species